UACGAAGGGUGCAAGCGUUACUCGGAAUUACUGGGCGUAAAGCGUGCGUAGGUGGUUUGUUAAGUUUGAUGUGAAAUCCCGGGGCUCAACCCUGGAAUUGCAUUGAAUACUGGAGGACUCGAGUCCCGGAGAGGAAACUGGAAUUUACGGUGUAGCAGUGAAAUGCGUAGAGAUCGUAAGGAAGACCAGUGGCGAAGGCGAGUUCUGGACGGGUAC
rnacentral:rRNA from 1 species